UACGUAGGUGGCAAGCGUUGUCCGGAUUUAUUGGGUUUAAAGGGUGCGUAGGCGGUUCCAUAAGUCAGUGGUGAAAUACGGCAGCUCAACUGUCGAGGUGCCAUUGAUACUGCGGAACUUGAGUACUGAUGAGGUAGGCGGAAUUGACGGUGUAGCGGUGAAAUGCUUAGAUAUCGCCAAGAACACCGAUAGCGAAGGCAGCUUACCAAGCAGUAACUGACGCUGAGGCACGAAAGUGCGGGGAUCAAACAGG
rnacentral:rRNA from 1 species